rnacentral:rRNA from 1 species
UACGUAGGGUGCGAGCGUUAAUCGGAAUUACUGGGCGUAAAGCGUGCGCAGGCGGUGUUGUAAGUCAGGUGUGAAAUCCCCGGGCUCAACCUGGGAAUGGCAUUUGGGACUGCAAGGCUGGAGUGCGGCAGAGGAGACUGGAAUUCCUGGUGUAGCAGUGAAAUGCGUAGAUAUCAGGAGGAAUACCGAUGGCGAAGGCAGGUCUCUGGGCUGACACUGACGCUCAUGCACGAAAGCGUGGGGAGCAAACAGG